CACCCCGGUUUUUGGCAAUGGUAGAACUCACACUGGUGGGCUAGAUGGAUCCGGUGGUUCUAGACUUGCCAACAACUGACUGAGA
rnacentral:pre_miRNA from 15 species